CUACGGGGGGCUGCAGUGGGGAAUAUUGGACAAUGGGGGAAACCCUGAUCCAGCAAUGCCGCGUGCGUGAAGAAGGCCUGCGGGUUGUAAAGCACUUUCGGUUGGGAGGACUGCUUCUAGCACUAAUAUUGUUGGAAGUUGACGUUACCUUCAGAAGAAGCAGCGGCUAACUCCGUGCCAGCAGCCGCGGUAAUACGGAGGGUGAAAGCGUUAAUCGGAAUUACUGGGCGUAAAGCGCGCGUAGGCGGCUAGAUCAGUCGGGUGUGAAAGCCCCGGGCUUAACCUGGGAACUGCAUCCGAUACUGUCUAGCUUGAGUACAGGAGAGGAGAGUGGAAUUCCACAUGUAGCGGUGACAUGCGUAGAUAUGUGGAGGAACACCAAUGGCGAAGGCAGCUCUCUGGCCUGAUACUGACGCUGAGGUGCGAAAGCGUGGGGAGCAAACAGGAUUAGAUACCCUCGUAGUC
rnacentral:rRNA from 1 species